AUAAUUAAACUAAUACAAUCGACCAGCCAGUGGAAGAUAGACUAACCCGCGAUGGAAACUUAGUCAUAGAUUGAACAGUCUGAUUGAUGAAUUAAUUUGUCAGUAGAUUCAGAUUCUACACUCAACAAACGUAGGUGUCAUAUGUCUGUGGUCCUUGAAGAUGCGACUGCAAAGCAAGAGAGUGGUAGGGUAAGAGAUUGUACAUGGCGAGUGUUUGUUCAGAUAUUCGAGGACAAACUCGGAGGAGGAGACUACAGGCGGUUCGGCGAAUACCAUAGAGAGAACAAGUUUUCAUCGUUUGUCAUAUUCGAAGAUUGAGUUUGAAAGAAUUGACGUUUGCAGCUUUGUACAGGCCCACAAAUCAGACGUAGGUCUACAAUGAUAAAAAAUAAGAAAAUGUGUAUCGAUGGAUUAUGAAAUCUGAUGAAACACAUGUAUUGUAUAGAUUGAGGUAGACCUCAACGCAGGAUGGAAAAUUGGUCACACUUCUCGGAUGAUUUAUGAUACUUCUCGUUGACAAGCAGAUGGAUUGGGAUAUUCUAAGGCUUUUACUGGCUCAAUUAGAUCGACUGGUGCCUGUACCUUAAGUGAAACUACAUAAAAAUACAGCGAUAGAGCCAUUUAAAUGUGUUCGUCAUCGUGCUUACAAAAUCGCAAAACCACCGAGACCAUAGUCUAGAUUUCCCUUGAAAUUUGAUCGCUUUGGCUUACCAUUGGCGUUCCAUUGGUGCACAUUGCAUUCCAAAUUUUGGGUAAUCGAUGUCCCGAUAUUGAGUUCUGUACAAAAUUUUUAACCCAGCUAUUUCUAAUUAGAUUAUAAUAUAUCGUUGACUGAGUAA